AAAGUCCUGCUCCUAUGCGAAGGCCUUAGUUCCACUUUGGCGGUUUAUGUAGCAUAAGCGGGGCUUU
rnacentral:ncRNA from 1 species